rnacentral:tRNA from 2 species
UGGGGUGUCGCCAAGAGGUAAGGCACGGGGUUUUGAUCCCCGCAUUCCCAGGUUCGAAUCCUGGCACCCCAG